rnacentral:rRNA from 1 species
GACGAAGGAUCCAAGCGUUAUCCGGAUUCAUUGGGUUUAAAGGGUGCGUAGGCGGGUUUGUAAGUCAGUGGUGAAAGCCGGCAGCUCAACUGUCGAAUUGCCAUUGAUACUGCAGAUCUAGAAUAUAGAUGACGUUGGCGGAAUAUGACAUGUAGCGGUGAAAUGCAUAGAUAUGUCAUAGAACACCGAUUGCGAAGGCAGCUGACGAAACUAUAAUUGACGCUGAUGCACGAAAGUGCGGGGAUCAAACAGG